rnacentral:lncRNA from 1 species
GUUGGCUCAUCCAAUGCAUUAUGUCAAUUUUUGUGAUGCUCUGGAGUUGCACCAUGGUCGACAGGUAAAUUUUUUUUUCAAAAUCUAUUCGAAUUGAAAAUCUAAAAUAGUUACAAAAUCUAUUAUAAAAAUGUGUUUCGUAAAUUUUGUAGCCAAUAACAGGUUUACAUGUCUCUUUGUGCUGUUCUGAAGUUCCACCAUGGUUGACACUUGACAGGUAAAAAAUUUUUUAAAAAAAUACACUAUUGAAAAUUGAAAAUUUAAAAAUAAUUAUAAAUUAUAUUAUAAAAACGUGUUUUUGAAAAUUUUGUAGUCAAUAACAGGUUUACAUGUUUCUACAUGGUUGUUUUAGAUCCCUUAUGCCUAUUCUGUUUUAGUUCUUAAAAUGUUUGUGUUUAACUCAAUAACAUAAUAACAAACAAUAAUAUGUUUGAAGCAUUGUUGUUGUCUCGCCGAGAUAAAGCACAAGUGGUGUAGAUUUAAUGAACUUCGCAAGCAUGAAAGCUCCUUUGCUAUAUCAAGCCAUAGUUAACAUUUUGUUAUUUGCCCUUUAUUCUUUGAAAAGUUAAUUCUAUUUUUUUGGGUUUUUUUUUGGCUUCAAUUUAAAAGGUGCGAAAAAACUCUAUUAAUAAAUAUAAAAUUACAUAUCUUUUGAGCGAGGAAACACAUAUAAUUUAUUUGGAUUAUUAUUCUUGAUUUAUUUUUUUCCUUUUGGAAUAUGUUUUCAUUUAAUUUCUACUAAUAGUUUUUACCUAAAUAAUUUUCUUUUGCAGUUUAUUUUCCAAGAAUGCUAUUUAAUUUUUUAUAAACCUUUUUUGCUAAUAUUUAUCAAAUUUUUUUUAAAACUACUAUGAUAUGAAUAAUCAGUAAAUAAAUACUAAUAUCAGCCAAAUAAAAAAUAAUGAGUAUUAUAUAAAGUUGGAUAUGAAUUCAUGGGUGAUCUGACAUUUCUUUGGCUAAAAUUACAUUUAUCUUCUUUUUUUCUUUAUUUUUAUGUGUUAAUGUGACGAUGAAUGACACAAUUAUUAGUACCCCACUUUAAAUUUUCCUUAUUGCACAUUUUAUGUGUUGCUUUUUGGUCCAUUUCUCUCAAUAGACUUUUGCCCGUUAUUUAAUUACAAUUAAUACAUUGAAUAUUGAUUCCAUUAUAACUCCUAAAUGUACAUAUUUAUUUAAUUAUUUCUGUAAUUAUUUAAUAUUUGUAACUCAUUUAUUGUGAUUGAGUCUUUUUAUCUUCAUUUUGCUUAUCUGCAUUUUUAUCAUAUUUUGAUGGAGAUAUUUAAUUGUUUAGCCUUAGAAAAAGAUGAUAAGACUUCUUCAAGUGAAGAAUGAAGACAAAAGUUAUAACUAGCUAAAAAAUUGGAAAUGAUGUCAAUAACGGGUGAAUAGGUAAUCUAGAAUACGUUUUUGAUGCCCGUGGAAGACUUUAUGUAUUUGUAAUUUCUUUGGACAAAAACAUUGUUACUUCAAUGUAAUUAAUUCUAUUUAUCCUAUUUUUAAUUAUUGUUUUGGUGAUUUAUUAAUAUGUUAUUUUGACUAAUAAUAAUA